GGAAGUAAAAAGUCGUAACAAGGUCUCCGUAGGUGAACCUGCGGAGGGAUCAUUACAAGAACGCCCGGGCUUCGGCCUGGUUAUUCAUAACCCUUUGUUGUCCGACUCUGUUGCCUCCGGGGCGACCCUGCCUUCGGGCGGGGGCUCCGGGUGGACACUUCAAACUCUUGCGUAACUUUGCAGUCUGAGUAAACUUAAUUAAUAAAUUAAAACUUUUAACAACGGAUCUCUUGGUUCUGGCAUCGAUGAAGAACGCAGCGAAAUGCGAUAAGUAAUGUGAAUUGCAGAAUUCAGUGAAUCAUCGAAUCUUUGAACGCACAUUGCGCCCCCUGGUAUUCCGGGGGGCAUGCCUGUUCGAGCGUCAUUUCACCACUCAAGCCUCGCUUGGUAUUGGGCAACGCGGUCCGCCGCGUGCCUCAAAUCGUCCGGCUGGGUCUUCUGUCCCCUAAGCGUUGUGGAAACUAUUCGCUAAAGGGUGUUCGGGAGGCUACGCCGUAAAACAACCCCAUUUCUAAGGUUGACCUCGGAUCAGGUAGGGAUACCCGCUGAACUUAAGCAUAUCAAUAAGCGG
rnacentral:misc_RNA from 1 species